rnacentral:lncRNA from 1 species
GGAAAAAGAAAUGAUUUUGAAUCAGAUGUUGAGAGGAAUUUGUGGAGAGUUAAUAUACUUUCUGUACUGUUGCUGGGCAUUGUUUUUGCAUGCAGUAAGCUGUCUUGCACUGUUAAGGUGAAAGUACUGUUAAUGUACAUAGUACUGGGGUUUGGCUGUGUAAUGCAAUUUUAUUUCCUGGCACAGGGUUUAUAUAAUCUAUGUGUAGUUAAGACCAUUGAGAAUUUAUCUCUCUGAGGCAAGGAGGACUAGUGUUUUACUAAGAAUUAAUUUUGUUGGGCACAGCUGUCAUUAGUGGCUUCUGCCCACUGUCUGACAAAUGCUGUAGCAUUUUCUUCAAAAGCUAAUAAUGUUUCCUUCCACAACCAAAAUAGCAGAUCAAGGAAGAUACCGAGUAUCUCCUUAAUUUUAUCAUGUACUAGGGCUUGGCAGUUGUUGUCUCUUGGUUGUUGGGUUUUUUUCCUCUUAAUUAGAGUGAGAUUUCCUCAUGAAUAAUGAAAUUAAUGUCUUUUGCAGCCAAAAUAAACACCAUAUGGUCAGGGAGAAAGGGACCAGGAAAAGAGGAAGGCGCAGCAGCUGAAGCUGAUAGGAGACAAAAUGGACUGAAUGAGGGGCCAGGGGCUCAUACUGUUCCAGCAAGGAAAUCCUGAAGGCUUUCAGAGCAGUAGCAGCAGAACUGGUGAUACAUUCUGAAUAACAUGGACUAGAAGCUGCUCUUUCUUCGUGAGUUCUGUAUCUGGAUUUUGUCAAUAUUCACUUUCUGCACCCAUUUCAUGAUAACACCGUUGAUUUAUUCAUUAAAUCAUAAGUGUCAAAAGAACUGAAUUGUGCAUCAGAACUUCCCCAUUAGCUGGUGAGUUUUGCCAUUUAUCUUCCAUUUUCUGUCUCCAUAAAAUAGAAACUAC